rnacentral:rRNA from 1 species
GUCAAGUUAUUAAGGGCACACGGUGGAUGCCUUGGCACCAGGAGCCGAUGAAGGACGUGGGAGGCUGCGAUAUGCCUCGGGGAGCUGUCAACCGAGCUGUGAUCCGAGGAUUUCCGAAUGGGGAAACCCGGCAGGGCUUGAAAUCCUGUCACCCGCGCCUGAACACAUAGGGCGUGUGGAGGGAACGCGGGGAAGUGAAACAUCUCAUUACCCGCAGGAAGAGAAAACAACCGUGAUUCCGCGAGUAGUGGCGAGCGAAAGCGGAUGAGGCUAAACCGAUUGCGUGUGAGAGCCGGCAGGCGUUGCGUGGUCGGGGUUGUGGGAUCGUUCGGGCGGGUCUGCCGAUCCGUCGAGGAGUGAGAAAGUGCUGUGUUAGUCGAAGGCCAUGCGAAUGGGUCACCAUAGCGGGUAACAGUCCCGUAGACGAAAACAUGGUACCUCCUGAGCGUUAUCCCAAGUAGCACGGAGCCCGUGAAAGUCCGUGUGAAUCUGGCGGGACCACCCGCUAAGCCUAAAUACUCCCUGGUGACCGAUAGCGGACUAGUACCGUGAGGGAAAGGUGAAAAGUACCCCGGGAGGGGAGUGAAAUAGUACCUGAAACCGUGUGCUUACAAUCCGUGGGAGCGGGGGCUUUGCCUCUGUGACCGCGUGCCUUUUGAAGAAUGAGCCUGCGAGUUUGCGAUGUGUGGCGAGGUUAACCUGUUGUGGGGUAGCCGUAGCGAAAGCGAGUCCGAAGAGGGCGUAUGAGUCGCAUGUCCAAGACCCGAAGCCGAGUGAUCUAUCCAUGGCCAGGUUGAAGCGCGGGUAAGACCGUGUGGAGGACCGAACCCACCAGGGUUGAAAACCUGGGGGAUGAGCUGUGGAUAGGGGUGAAAGGCCAAUCAAACUCGGUGAUAGCUGGUUCUCCCCGAAAUGCAUUUAGGUGCAGCGUUACGUGUUUCUUGCCGGAGGUAGAGCACUGGAUGGCCUAGGGGGCCUACAAGCUUACUGAAGUCAGCCAAACUCCGAAUGCCGGUAAGUGAAGCGUGGCAGUGAGACUGCGGGGGAUAAGCUUCGUAGUCGAGAGGGAAACAGCCCAGAUCGCCAGCUAAGGCCCCUAAGCGUGCGCUAAGUGGGAAAGGAUGUGGAGUCGCGGAGACAACCAGGAGGUUGGCUUAGAAGCAGCCACCCUUGAAAGAGUGCGUAAUAGCUCACUGGUCCAAGUGAUUCCGCGCCGACAAUGUAGCGGGGCUCAAGCGCACCGCCGAAGCUGCGGCAUAUGCACGGUGUUUGGCCUUCUUCUUCGGGAGGGGGUCCAGGCGUGUGUAUGGGUAGGGGAGCGUCGUGUAGCGAGUGAAGCGGCAGGGUGACCUAGCCGUGGACGCUACGCGAGUGAGAAUGCAGGCAUGAGUAGCGAAAGACGGGUGAGAAACCCGUCCGCCGGAUGACCAAGGGUUCCUGGGGCAGGCUAAUCCGCCCAGGGUGAGUCGGGACCUAAGGCGAGGCCGACAGGCGUAGUCGAUGGACAACGGGUUGAUAUUCCCGUACCGGCGUUGAUGCGACCA